rnacentral:lncRNA from 1 species
UUUGGAUUUAGUGGAAAAUUUGGUAAUCAUCUUUUUGCUAGCUUCCGUCUGAUUCUGUAGCCUUGCAUAUUUGCUAGUUUAGCAGGUAUGCGGCGUCUGUUACGCCUCGGGUUUGGGGCGUGACAGAUCUAGCGAAAUCAGCAUUUUUCUACUUGGUGUACCGGUACAGCCAUCAUGGUGUACCGGUACACAAUGGCAGAAUCGUGGCAGCAAGGU